GGGGAAUAUUGCACAAUGGGCGCAAGCCUGAUGCAGCGACGCCGCGUGGGGGAUGACGGCCUUCGGGUUGUAAACUCCUUUCGUUAGGGACGAAGCCGCACCUGUUUUGGGUGUGGUGACGGUACCUUUGUUAAGAAGCACCGGCUAACUACGUGCCAGCAGCCGCGGUAAUACGUAGGGUGCGAGCGUUGUCCGGAAUUACUGGGCGUAAAGAGCUCGUAGGUGGUUUGUUGCGUCGUCUGUGAAAUUCCGGGGCUUAACUUCGGGGUGGCAGGCGAUACGGGCAUAACUAGAGUGCUGUAGGGGAGACUGGAAUUCCUGGUGUAGCGGUGGAAUGCGCAGAUAUCAGGAGGAACACCGAUGGCGAAGGCAGGUCUCUGGGCAGUAACUGACGCUGAGGAGCGAAAGCAUGGGGAGCGAAC
rnacentral:rRNA from 1 species